rnacentral:lncRNA from 1 species
CCCUAGUUCCCCUUCGUAAGCAUUUACUUUUCCAUUCUUUUUCUUCCUCUCUCUCUUUUUUCGUUCUUUCCCUUUACAAUCGGUUGUAAAAACUGUGAACUGGCUUCAUAUUUCUGGUACAGGUUUUAACAAUAAAGUUUCUUUGCUAUGUUUGUCAUGAUACACAUUAAAAUUGUCACGUUCUUGUGAUUGUCUGUUGUUAUUUCUAUAACUUUCAAUAUAUAGUUCUAUUUGUUGCAUUUAUAAUAUAUGUAAAAUCUUAGCAUGUAUUUUAUGUAAUCAAUAUAUUCAUUAACAGCAAUGUGAUAUUCAUAGACUUGAAUAUCUUGUACAUUAAGGCACUAAAGCUGCGAAGAAGUGUCCGAAUUUCAUGGUUUCUUAUUUACAUACAUAUAAAUAUAUGUAUAUUUAUAAUUUAUCUUCCCUUUCCCCUUGAAACUAAACUUUAAUCUCUGGAAAUUAAUAAUUACAAAAUAUAUUACCGAUAAAUGAUGCCGUUAUAAAACUCGGCAUCUUUGUUCUGCUUUACACUACACAUGUCACGUAAGAAAAAAUGUCACCUGUAAUAUAUUAGUAAAGGUGGCUGAACCCAUGACACUUAAAUAUGACUUUUCGAAAUUAGUAAAGCAAAUGGAUCUGAAUAAGACUUUAGGAUCUUUUUUUUUUUCAUUAUUUUUGUACAAAUAAUAGUUGUACUAAUAGUUUUAAUAAACUAUAUGCAUUUUAAAGGAUGGAGGUUUUCACUCUUAAUGAUCAAAUGUGCUUACCAUGCAUUAUUUCUGGGUGUUCUUGAUGAUAAUAGUAAAAAUUUACUAGUAAAACUGCAUCUUUAUGCCGUGACCUGUCAUGUUACUCCUACUCACUAAGAAGCUAAGUAAGGAUUAAAAGAACUAUUUAGCAAUUUUAGAAAUUUGGAAGUUGGUUAUUUUACUGGUAAGUGGGUCUGAAUGAAGUCAAUUCUUUGUGGGCAUCUAAGUAUGAAACCAUUUAAAAAGAUCCCCCUAAGUUACAGAAUAAUGCUGUCUCUAUAUGGUAACAUUUGAGAGAAAUGGUCAGAGAUGUUUAUCAGUUUUUUGGUCCAGCUUUUUGCUCUUGAAAAUGUCUUAUUUGCAUGGCAUUCGUCUGGGUAGAGCACACUUAGGAAAUGCAAAGCACCAGUUUCUGCACAGGGCUGCAAAGUCUUUUAAGCCCUUGAGGGCUUUUGUUUGACUUUAUGUGUGACGGUGUGGUGGAAAAUCUUCACUGGAAACUCAGAAAACUGUGGUCAUAUGACUCAUGUCAUGAGAAAUGAGCUGGUUUGUCCCUAUAGGUAAGAUUUUAAGAGGAAAAAUCUGGAGCCUUCAAGACUGGGUUCAGACAUAUGAAAUAGAAUUCAGGAGCAAUGAUCUCUAAAUUUCCAGUAGUCUUAUAUUCCCAUCCUUUUAAAACCUUCAACAGAAAAGUGCACCUUUAAUUUCCCUGUGUACAAAUACCCUUGGUCAGCUCUCCAGGCAGCAGGCUGCUCCUUAGCUGGAUAAGUCACAGGGCCGUUGGCAAGAAGAGGAAGGAAAGAUAUUUACUCUUUUGAGCAUAGAACUGGUUUUUCUAAAUUAAAUUGCUGUAUAUUCACUGUCAUAUUUAUCCCACUAAUGUUUCAAAAUGUUCCUGAGAGUAACUUAGUUUUAAAAUCUGUCUCAAUUUGAAUUCGGCAUUGAUUGGCUACUUCCUCUGCCUUUUUUUCCCCCAGCAGAUAGACCAACCAACAAGAGCUUUUAUGUCUAUUGCAAAGGCCCCUGUCAAAGAGUGCAGCCAGGAAAGCUCCGCGUGCGGUGCAGCACCUGCCAACAGGCAACCCUCACCUUGACUCAGGUAAGGAGAUGCGAUGUGGGCAGAGACUGCCCUAAAAAAUGAACAUGUGCUUCCAGAGCUGCCUUUGGGAUUUCUAGCCAGAUAUCACCCAUCACUAAAAGUAAAAGACUUCUGUGGGGUUUUAAUGGUUAACGGUGUCUGAAGUUUCAUUUAAAAAUAUAGCGCUUUGUGCAAGUUUAGGUAGUACAGGGUCAUUGCCCCCGUUUCUUUAAUCCAGGCCUAGUGAAAGGAAAUACAGAGGCUGCUUUUAUAACAAAAAGGUCUGGGGGAUGUCUUUUAAAAGCAGCCUCUUUUAAGGGUCCUCCUAAGAUCCUGGAAACGUUUCAAAUCUCGAGCUGUGUGAUGGGAACAGGGUUGUGUGCAUAUGUCAAAAUUCACUGGACUAUUCACUUAAGAUCGGUGCCCUUAAAAGUUGCGAAAUGUAAGUUAUACCCCAAUUAAAAAAACGAAAAGGAAAGUUGUGGCUCAACGAAGAGUAUGCAUAUGAAACAGGCUGGAAAGCCCAGCGUGCUGUGGCCUCUGCUUGUUUUGUGCAGUCCACGAGCUGUGAAUUUUUUUAUUUGCAUUUUUAAGUGCUUGGGAAACAUCAGAAGAAUAAUACUGCGUGACGUGUGAACAUGACGUGAGAUUUAAAUUCCAGGUCAUAAUAGAGCUUUGUCAGGUCGGGGUCCGUGGCCCCCCCCCACACCUGUGCAGGUUAUCUACGCCACUCUUGUGCCCCAGAGCAGGGGUGACGGGAUGGCUUGCAAAGCUGGACACGUUUACUCUCUGGCCCUUUAGAGAAAACGUUUGCUGACCGACCCUCGAUAUAAAACAGACACGGCUAGUCUGUAACUUCAGCGUGAUCAUCGCGUAGGGUUUGGAUGAAUGUGAUGUGGCUGCUAAUGUGUGUAGAGGUGUGGGGGCCAUUCCGGCCCCCUCAGGGGUGAGAGCACAGCCAAAGAGGCACAGAAGGACAAAGAGCUUUAGGUGAGUCCCGGGGCUGAAGUGUAGAGCAGCACCCGCUACCACGCUGGUCCUGAUGGUGGCUCGAAGAUUUAGGUUUCAUUCUGCAGGCCCUGGGGGCGAAGGUCAAGUGUAACAAACAAAGACCACCUGUACGAUGAUGUUUUAAGACUGUUUCUUGGUGCUGCAACAAUUUGUUACUGGGAUUGAAACUGCUGAUAGAUUGAAAGCAAAGAAAUUAAUCAAUCAAUUGUUUAUAGGGUUCAAGGGUGAGGAGCCAGAGGGCCCAGUUUAGGGAGAAGCCUGGCCAAAUGGGUGCAAGGGGAGCUGUGAAAGAACCCAAAGGAUGCAGGAAGAAAGGGGGGACUGAGGGUCCCUGACUCCAGUCUGGGGAAAAUGGUGGAAUUACUCAAAAAUGUAAUUCAGUAUUUCACUACGAUAUAGCAUUUCAGCUACGUAGACAGAUCUACUCAGAAAGACAAGUCCAUGAAGGAGGACCAGGCUGGUCCUGACGCAGUGGAGUAGACCUUUGUCUGGGUGUCCUUGAACAGUGCUUCUGUCCGGGAAAUGUGCUGUGCUAAAGUCUCACGGCUGUUCUUCCACCUGAUUCUCUCCUCCGCCUCUAACCUUUCACAGUGCAAUAAGCAGCCUCUUCUAGCCCUUUGAUCUGUACUCCAGUCCUGGUUGCUUCGACUCCCAAUGGCUCUUGUAAAAACAGCAGUAAAACAUUAUUAUUGAACGACAAGCUUAAUUAUUUUCAUGCAUUAUCUCAUUUAAUUAUUUCCUAACACUCUGAGUUAAGCGCUGUUACUAACCCUGUUUUAGAUUUGAGAAAAAUGUGGCUUAAAGAGAUUAAGAAAACAAGAACUUCUCAGUGAUGGACAAGGGCUAAAUCAGGCUGUGUGAUCAAAUGCUUUAAGCUCUGCAGCCUCCUCCUUUUUACUGCACAGACGUCUCUACCCUGAGGGUCAUGUGCUCAAAUAUCUCUGAUGAUGAGACAGGUGAUUUAAAAAUUAAGUCCAAUGUAGGCAGUAGGGUGUGAUGAGAACUGUGGUUGAUGGAGGAGGCCAAGGCACACGUACAGGAGGCAGCUCUUCCAGUUGUUAGCAGGUGGGCAGGGCAGGGGUGGGGGGGAGGCGCUUGCUGUGGCUGACCAACCUUUUAUUUAAUCAGGAGAAGCCAUCAGUGUGGAAUUUGAUGUGGACUUUAAAAAAAAGCAAAACGAAACUAAGGCCUUGUUGAGAAGCAUUCUGGUGUGAGCCUAAGACAAAGAUUCUGGAGCCAGGCUGCCUGGCUUAGACUCUCCACUUCAUUACAUUGCUUACGUUACUUCAUUACACUGCCAUCUGUUAGCUGGCAUGAGGGUAUCUAUUUUUUGUUUGUUGUGAAAAUUCGUUAAUAUAUGAAAAGCACUUUGAAAGAUAGCUGGAACAUGCAUACUUAGAAAUCUUAAAAUUAUCGUCAUUUGGCUACCAUUACUAUCAUUAAUAUUCACGUAGUUAUUUUGUAUAUUUACAUAUACACAUAUGCAUGGAGACACUUAUAUGUGCUUUACUGUGGCAUCAGCCAGCCUUUGGUCAACUCCCUUCAGAGAAGCUCCGAGCUCCAUGGUGGAGUCAGGUCACCUGCUCACCUGGACCAGGGCUUCCUUGGAGGGAUGAUCUCGGCCAUGCAGUGGCCGCAGCUCAGCCACAUCUCAGAUGCCCACUCCCAGGACCACCCUGGACUUUGUCCCUUCACAGCUGACAGUGUCAGCUCCACGUUUGAUUAUUAAACCCAGGCUUUUAUUUCCCUACCUUGUUUUUCACUCUGCACAUUGUUCACUCCCCUCUUAAGUUUUUGUAGAACUAUCUGGCCAUUCCUCCCCUCAUAGGCCAAAGUUCACCUGUAUGAUUGUAGAUGUCAUUGCAUUUCUGUUCUACAUUCUGUGCCACUGCCUGUCUAUAGUCCAAGCAUCUGUAAGCCUCCUAAGAUCAGACAGCCUGUCAGUUGGAGUCCCUUUCUUAUUUCCAGCACCUCGCACGGUACCUUGUCCGUAGCAGAUGGCAUCUGUAUUUGAACUUUGACACACUGACUCAACAGAUUCACAACCUUUAGAAAUUCUAUUUGGCACUUAAUAAUCUUAUUAAGCAUAGCAAUUAUAAUUGUUGUACUAGACUCGACGUCUUUCCUUACAUUUAUAUUCUGGUACUUGUAUUUUUGUCUAAUUCUCAGGACAGACCUGUAAAGUAGAUAUUAUUAUCCAGUGUUUUUUGCUUAGAGUCACCACAAAGUUAAGAAAUGAGCCCAAAGUCACGUGGUUAACAGGUAGAUGUUGGCUCCAGGACUGAAAAGUCUUUUCGGUGUUUCUGCAAAGCACUGGUCUUUUUUAGGAUAGAUUGCUUGCUAUACAAAUCUGGUAAUAAAUGUUCUAUUAUCCAACUCCUUCCCUCAUAUUUAAAAUAUCAUUCAAAAAUGCUCUUACAAAAAUAUGCUUAAGGGUUUAAAGAAAAUGGAAUCAAAGCUGAUUGAAAGAUUAUGGACUGAAUCCAGAGUUUUAGUACAGUUACUCAAUGUAGCAUAACUGGUUCCCAGCAAUUGAAUAGACCAGGCAUAUCAAUUUUUUUAAUAGCAAAAAAUACUCACUCAGUAGUAGUUCCAAAUAAUAUCUCUGUGGAGCAGCUGACUAAUCACACUGCCAGCUGGUCUACAAGUUAAGUCUUGGCUGUGAUGGAGCAGGUGCUGAACUUUGCUAAGAGGAAGGGUUUCUAUUUAGAGAAAAGACAACUGUGAGGUUUCAUUUUCCCAAACUUUAUAAAGAUCUACAACUCUGGUC